rnacentral:ncRNA from 2 species
GGUGGUCUGUAAGGGCUGCUGGACGUAUCAGAAGUGCGAAUGCUGACAUGAAGAACGAUAAAGGGGGUGAAAAACCCCCUCGCCGGAAGACCAAGGGUUCCCUGUCCAACUUAAUCGGGGCAGGGUAAGUCGACCCCCUAAGGGCGAGGCCGAAAGGCGUAGUCGAUGGGAAACGGGUUAAUAUUCCCGUACUUCUUAUAAUUGCGAUGGGGGGACGGAGAAGGCUAGGUUGGGCCUGGCGACGGUUGUCCAAGGUUCAAGUACGUAGGCGGAA